UCCGUACUCCCUCCGUUCCAUAAUUCUUGUCUCAAAUUUGUCUAAAAAUAGAUGUAUCUAUUCCUAAAAAGCGUCUAGAUACAUGUAAUAUUUCGACAAGAAUUAUGAAACGGAGGAAGUACUAA
rnacentral:pre_miRNA from 1 species